UCCUUCGAGCUCCUGCUCUAUACAAAAACCUUUUAGAUCUUCUGGGCUUGAUGGCUGAAGACUGAUGCUGCCCCAGGACCUCAGUUCCCAUUCAAAACCAUCAACUACCAUGGAGGAGCAUGGAGUAAGUUCCCAGGUACUGGUUCGUGUGAGCUCCAGAGGAUUACAACCUGGAUCUAUCUUUCAUAGCUGGAUGAAGUUUCUUGUCUGAAGGAAAUGCAUAAAUAGAGUCUGGAUAUAGAACUGAAAACAGGGAAGUGGAAUGAAAAUGACCAAGAGAAUUUGAUGAAGAUUCCCAGUGUGUGGUUGAGAUCUGCCAGCAUCAGCCUUACCUGGAUGCUUGUUAGGAAUCCCAAAUCCAGGUCUCAUGUAAGACUUCCUAACUCAGACCUAUGCUAUCAUAAGAUCCCAGGUGUUUUCUCUUGAAAUGUGAAGAGAACUGGAAGAUAGACACCUGAAUCCCACAUGCAGAAGACUAAAUACCCUAUCAUACACACACACAC